rnacentral:tRNA from 1 species
GGCGACGUAGCCAAGUGGUUAAGGCAGAGCUCUGCAAAAGCUCGAUCCCCAGUUCGAUUCUGGGCGUCGCCUCCA